rnacentral:rRNA from 1 species
UACGAAGGGGGCUAGCGUUGCUCGGAAUCACUGGGCGUAAAGCGCACGUAGGCGGCUUGCUAAGUCAGGGGUGAAAUCCUGGAGCUCAACUCCAGAACUGCCUUUGAUACUGGCGACCUUGAGUCGGGGAGAGGUGAGUGGAACUGCGAGUGUAGAGGUGAAAUUCGUAGAUAUUCGCAAGAACACCAGUGGCGAAGGCGGCUCACUGGCCCGGUACUGACGCUGAGGUGCGAAAGCGUGGGGAGCAAACAGG